ACGGGAGGCAGCAGUGGGGAAUAUUGCACAAUGGGGGAAACCCUGACGCAGCGACGCCGCGUGAGUGAAGAAGUAUUUCGGUAUGUAAAGCUCUAUCAGCAAGGAAGAAAAUGACGGUACUUGACUAAGAAGCCCCGGCUAACUACGUGCCAGCAGCCGCGGUAAUACGUAGGGGGCAAGCGUUAUCCGGAUUUACUGGGUGUAAAGGGAGCGUAGACGGUAAGGCAAGUCUGAAGUGAAAUGCAUGGGCUCAACCCAUGAACUGCUUUGGAAACUGUCAAACUAGAGUGCAGGAGGGGUAAGUGGAAUUCCUAGUGUAGCGGUGAAAUGCGUAGAUAUUAGGAGGAACACCAGUGGCGAAGGCGGCUUACUGGACUGUAACUGACGUUGAGGCUCGAAAGCGUGGGGAGCAAACAGGAUUAGAUACCCUGGUA
rnacentral:rRNA from 1 species